AUCGAUAAAAAUAUCUAGUAACAACUAAAUGAUUCAUUUAGGCUCCCAAAAACAAAAACACAGACCUAAUGCAUGUCAAAUCGUACAACAUGAUUGAUAUAGUCAGCAUUCGGCAAACUGAUUUCAGUCACUUAUCUGAUAUCUAAUAUCCCAAGGCAUACUUUGAACUACAAUCCAAAAGAAAGGUUGACACAGAAGGCAUUGUAACUUGUAAGGUUGACGCUCUUCAAAGCCCGUUAUCUUGAGGUGGGGAACGGGUGUUGGGUUGGCUCUUCUCAACUGUAUCUUCGUUUGAUGAUGUAUCG
rnacentral:lncRNA from 1 species